rnacentral:rRNA from 1 species
AGUUUGAUCAUGGCUCAGAUUGAACGCUGGCGGCAGGCCUAACACAUGCAAGUCGAACGGUAACAGGAAGCAGCUUGCUGCUUCGCUGACGAGUGGCGGACGGGGGAGUAAUGUCUGGGAAACUGCCUGAUGGAGGGGGAUAACUACUGGAAACGGUAGCUAAUACCGCAUAACGUCGCAAGACCAAAGAGGGGGACCUUCGGGCCUCUUGCCAUCGGAUGUGCCCAGAUGGGAUUAGCUAGUAGGUGGGGUAACGGCUCACCUAGGCGACGAUCCCUAGCUGGUCUGAGAGGAUGACCAGCCACACUGGAACUGAGACACGGUCCAGACUCCUACGGGAGGCAGCAGUGGGGAAUAUUGCACAAUGGGCGCAAGCCUGAUGCAGCCAUGCCGCGUGUAUGAAGAAGGCCUUCGGGUUGUAAAGUACUUUCAGCGGGGAGGAAGGGAGUAAAGUUAAUACCUUUGCUCAUUG